rnacentral:rRNA from 1 species
GAUGAACGCUAGCUACAGGCUUAACACAUGCAAGUCGAGGGGCAGCAUGGUCUUAGCUUGCUAAGGCCGAUGGCGACCGGCGCACGGGUGAGUAACACGUGUCCAACCUGCCGUCUACUCUUGGACAGCCUUCUGAAAGGAAGAUUAAUACAAGAUGGCAUCAUGAGUCCACAUGUUCACAUGAUUAAAGGUAUUCCGGUAGACGAUGGGGAUGCGUUCCAUUAGAUAGUAGGCGGGGUAACGGCCCACCUAGUCUUCGAUGGAUAGGGGUUCUGAGAGGAAGGUCCCCCACAUUGGAACUGAGACACGGUCCAAACUCCUACGGGAGGCAGCAGUGAGGAAUAUUGGUCAAUGGGCGAGAGCCUGAACCAGCCAAGUAGCGUGAAGGAUGACUGCCCUAUGGGUUGUAAACUUCUUUUAUAAAGGAAUAAAGUCGGGUAUGGAUACCCGUUUGCAUGUACUUUAUGAAUAAGGAUCGGCUAACUCCGUGCCAGCAGCCGCGGUAAUACGGAGGAUCCGAGCGUUAUCCGGAUUUAUUGGGUUUAAAGGGAGCGUAGAUGGAUGUUUAAGUCAGUUGUGAAAGUUUGCGGCUCAACCGUAAAAUUGCAGUUGAUACUGGAUAUCUUGAGUGCAGUUGAGGCAGGCGGAAUUCGUGGUGUAGCGGUGAAAUGCUUAGAUAUCACGAAGAACUCCGAUUGCGAAGGCAGCCUGCUAAGCUGCAACUGACAUUGAGGCUCGAAAGUGUGGGUAUCAAACAGGAUUAGAUACCCUGGUAGUCCACACGGUAAACGAUGAAUACUCGCUGUUUGCGAUAUACAGCAAGCGGCCAAGCGAAAGCGUUAAGUAUUCCACCUGGGGAGUACGCCGGCAACGGUGAAACUCAAAGGAAUUGACGGGGGCCCGCACAAGCGGAGGAACAUGUGGUUUAAUUCGAUGAUACGCGAGGAACCUUACCCGGGCUUAAAUUGCAGAUGAAUUACGGUGAAAGCCGUAAGCCGCAAGGCAUCUGUGAAGGUGCUGCAUGGUUGUCGUCAGCUCGUGCCGUGAGGUGUCGGCUUAAGUGCCAUAACGAGCGCAACCCUUGUUGUCAGUUACUAACAGGUUCCGCUGAGGACUCUGACAAGACUGCCAUCGUAAGAUGUGAGGAAGGUGGGGAUGACGUCAAAUCAGCACGGCCCUUACGUCCGGGGCUACACACGUGUUACAAUGGGGGGUACAGAGGGCCGCUACCACGCGAGUGGAUGCCAAUCCCAAAAACCUCUCUCAGUUCGGACUGGAGUCUGCAACCCGACUCCACGAAGCUGGAUUCGCUAGUAAUCGCGCAUCAGCCACGGCGCGGUGAAUACGUUCCCGGGCCU